rnacentral:miRNA from 1 species
GGCAGGGCAGGGCAGGGCAGGGCAGCGGAGCGGAGCGGAGCGGAGCGGAGCGGAGGCCUGGCCUG